GUCGUCCAAGAUUCAACAUGGCGGACCCUGACAGGUGACUUUUAGUGCCUCCGUUCAGACCUUUCUGUUGAUCCGUCGGAAGCUCAGUGGGCGUGGAAAGGAUCGAUCCUCGGCGGUUUGGAGGCCACGGGGGCGAUGAGAUACUUCAGACGACCGGUAACCUUUCCACCGCCAUCUACUCUCGAGGGGAACGAUAAGGCUGACAGAAUUAUCACCAUGCUACCCCCAGUCCUAAUGUACAGGAAGUGCACAUAUGGG